GAAUAUUAGUCAAUGAUCGAAGGAUUGAUCUAGUUACUUAGGAAGAUGAAGAUUACAAUAUAAUAUAAUAUACAAUGUAUAAGAUAUAAAAAGUAAUAAUGAAGAAUAUAAAAUCAAUGUAUAUGUGUGAAUAAUGAUGUAAAUAUAUACAGAAGUCUUAACAAAAAUUAGUGCCAGCAGUUGCGGUUAAACUAAGGAGGCGAACGCUAAUCAUUAUGGCUUAAAGGAUCCGUAGAAUGAUUUAUUAAAAUAAUAAAAUAGAGUUAAAUGGGAUGAUCAAUGAAAUAUCAUAUAGAGAGAUGAAAUGUUUGGAAAAUGAUAAGACAGAUAAACGUGAAGAUAUGAUCAAAAAGGUUAACUGACAUUGAGGGAUGAAGGCACUCGUAGCGAACAGGAUUAGAUACCCUAGUAGUUUGUGCAGUAAACGAUGAGUACUAAAUAAAAUAUAAGUGAAAACUAAGUAUUCCGCCAGGAGAGUAUAAUUGCAAAAUCAAAAUCCAAGACAAUAGACGGUUACAGCUGUAGGCAGUGGAUUGUGUUAUUUAAU
rnacentral:rRNA from 1 species